GUGGCUAUGGGGCAGUUAUAGGGCAGUUAUAGGGUAGUUAUAGGGCAGCUAUGGGGCGGCUAUGGGGCAGCUGUGGGGCAGUUAUAGGGUAGUUAUGGGGCGGCUAUGGGGCAGCUAUGGGGCGGCUAUGGGGCGGCUAUGGGGCGGCUAUGGGGCAGCCAUGGGGCAGCGAUGGUGCGGCUAUGGGGCAGGUAUGGGGCAGCUAUGGGGCAGUUAUAGGGUAGUUAUGGGGUAGUUAUGGGGCAGCUAUGGGGCAGCCAUGGGGCGGCCGUGGGGCGCUCACCGCACGCAGCGGCCGUGCAGGAGGAAGAAGCCGUCCCUGCAGCUCUGGCAGCGCCGCCCCACGGAGCCCCGCGCGCAGCCCACGCAAACGGCCUCCGCCUCCAACGGGCCGAAACGCAGCCAGCGCCGCGCCUGCGCGGCACAGCGUGGGGACAGCGGGGACACGUGGGGACACAGAGGGACACAGAGGGACCAUAGGAACCAUAGGGACACACAGAGACACACAGGGACACACAGGGACCAUAGGGACACAUACGGACACAUGGGGACACAGAGGGACACAGAAGGACACAUGGGGACACAUGGGGACACAUGGGGACCAUAGGGACACAGAGGGACACGUGGGGACACAUGGGGACACAGAGGGACCAUAGGGACACAGAGGGACACGUGGGGACACAUGGGGACACAGAGGGACACAUGGGGACACAUAGGGACACAGAGGGACACA
rnacentral:lncRNA from 1 species